ACGAACGCUGGCGGCAGGCCUAACACAUGCAAGUCGAACGCACUCUUCGGAGUGAGUGGCAGACGGGUGAGUAACGCGUGGGAACCUUCCCAGUGGUACGGAAUAGCCCAGGGAAACUUGGGGUAAUACCGUAUAAGCCCUACGGGGGAAAGAUUUAUCGCCACUGGAUGAGCCCGCGUCGGAUUAGCUUGUUGGUGGGGUAAUGGCCUACCAAGGCAACGAUCCGUAGCUGGUCUGAGAGGAUGAUCAGCCACACUGGGACUGAGACACGGCCCAGACUCCUACGGGAGGCAGCAGUGGGGAAUAUUGGACAAUGGGCGAAAGCCUGAUCCAGCCAUGCCGCGUGAGUGACGAAGGCCUUAGGGUUGUAAAGCUCUUUUGGCGGGGACGAUAAUGACGGUACCCGCAGAAUAAGCUCCGGCUAACUUCGUGCCAGCAGCCGCGGUAAUACGAAGGGAGCUAGCGUUGUUCGGAAUCACUGGGCGUAAAGCGCACGUAGGCGGAUUUGUUAGUCAGGGGUGAAAUCCCGGGGCUCAACCUCGGAACUGCCUUUGAUACUGCAAAUCUAGAGUCCGAGAGAGGUGGGUGGAAUUCCUAGUGUAGAGGUGAAAUUCGUAGAUAUUAGGAAGAACACCGGUGGCGAAGGCGGCCCACUGGCUCGGUACUGACGCUGAGGUGCGAAAGCGUGGGGAGCAAGCAGGAUUAGAUACCCUGGUAGUCCACGCCCUCAACGAUUCAACUAGUCGUUGGAGGAAUUUAAU
rnacentral:rRNA from 1 species